UACAGAGGUCCCGAGCGUUAGGCGGAAUCACUGGGCUUAAAGCGUGUGUAGGUGGAUCGUUAAGUACCUUGUGAAAUCCCACGGCUUAACCGUGGAACUGCUUGGUAUACUGGCGGUCUUGAGCCAGCUAGGGGCAGCCGGAACAAGCGGUGGAGCGGUGAAAUGCGUAGAUAUCGCUUGGAACGCCGAAGGUGAAAACAGGCUGCUGGGGUUGCGCCGACGCUGAGACACGAAAGCCAGGGGAGCAAACGGG
rnacentral:rRNA from 1 species